UGCAAGUCGAGCGGAGUUAUGAAGGAGCUUGCUCUGGAUUAACUUAGCGGCGGACGGGUGAGUAACACGUAGGCAACCUACCUCUUUGACUGGGAUAACUACCGGAAACGGUAGCUAAUACCGGAUAAUUCCUUUGUUCACAUGGGCGGAGGAUGAAAGGCGGAGCAAUCUGCUACAAGGAGAUGGGCCUGCGGCGCAUUAGCUAGUUGGUGGGGUAACGGCUCACCAAGGCGACGAUGCGUAGCCGACCUGAGAGGGUGAACGGCCACACUGGGACUGAGACACGGCCCAGACUCCUACGGGAGGCAGCAGUAGGGAAUCUUCCGCAAUGGGCGAAAGCCUGACGGAGCAACGCCGCGUGAGUGAUGAAGGUUUUCGGAUCGUAAAGCUCUGUUGCCAGGGAAGAACGUCCGGUAGAGUAACUGCUACCGGAGUGACGGUACCUGAGAAGAAAGCCCCGGCUAACUACGUGCCAGCAGCCGCGGUAAUACGUAGGGGGCAAGCGUUGUCCGGAAUUAUUGGGCGUAAAGCGCGCGCAGGCGGCUAUU
rnacentral:rRNA from 1 species